UUAAUAAUGUUAUUAAAUGUUGUACAAAAUACUUCUGUAUCAGAGAAGAUUAGCAUGGCUCCUGUGCAAGGAUGACACGCAAAUUCGUGAAGUGUUCCAUAUUUUU